UUGCGGGCGAUAUCUCAAGGUUUGUUCAGAGCCAGACUUCCAAUGAUGUGCAGUUGAGACAUGAGCCAAUAAUACACAGGGCUUUACCAUACAAUUCAAGUCAAGGAGCCUUGUUACCUGGACCAAGAAUCACAGAGCUGCAAAUACCAAAUACCGAAAAAACAUAUUUUGGUCCAGAUGCUAGUUCUCCUGCUGUUAUUCCUAGCAACAUUCUGGUCAGUCAGGUUGCUACACAAUUUGAUCAGUACAUACAGAGCGAACCAUCUCAUUUCUCUGAAGAACCAUACAGUUGACUUCCUCUCGAUAGUUUGUCAUCUACAGAUGCAGUCAUAUCUUUGAUGCAAUCUCAAUUCCAGCUUCCAAGCAACAGUGAGAGUUUCAGCAACCAUUCCAACCAACGAUGCAAUGGACAAACAAAAAUGCAGCCACAACAAGUUUUUACUGGAUUUCAGCCAUCAAGAACAAACAUCUUUGACUCGAGCUCAUGUGAAGACCUCAUACAGAGCUUCAUGUCUCAGAUUUCUAACAGUGAUGGGGCAGCGACGCCACUUUCUCCACGCAAGUGGUUCAAGAUCAAGGUGGCAUUGAAGCUAGCAUCUGUGGGGAGGCUCUCCAGGACCUCAAGGAGGGAUCUGCAUUGCACCCCACCAAGGCCAAGGCUUGUACCGACAAUAUGAGCCCUCGGAGAAGUUUGAACAGAGGUUGCAAAAGAGCCAAUUUCGGAUCAAAGAUCUACCUGGAUGUUGCACUCUAUGAUAUUGUUGAAGUAGAUACUCCAGAGACAUCUGUUAAAUUGAUAAUAGAAUUGAUUUUGUCGAAUAACUAGGUAUUUGUAUAUAAAGGAGCUAGUACUUUACUUUUGUUAUUGAGUGUAUUUGCAAGCUGAAGAUUUCAGGACUCUUUGUUGUUGUCUAUGAAUUCAGGACAAUGUAAAAAGCAGGUGGUUUCUUCAUCUCUUGGAAAACUCAUUUUGCAAAAAAAGUGACUUUAUUAGAUGCAGUGGAAAAGUUGUAAUUAGUCUGCAACUGACAAAACUGACAAUUUUAAUGCGAUAAAGGGCAACAUACAUGUCACC